rnacentral:misc_RNA from 1 species
CUGCUUUUGUGGUUGAGGUGGUUGUGUGCGUCGCUUGUGUCUGAGGAUGAUGGGUUUGAAUUCUGAGAGUUGGUGC